rnacentral:rRNA from 1 species
AAACAUAGCCUUUAGCAACACAAGUAUUAAAGGUCCCGCCUGCCCAGUGAGACUUAUUUUUAACGGCCGCGGUAUUCUAACCGUGCAAAGGUAGCGUAAUCACUUGUCUUCUAAAUAAAGACUAGUAUGAACGGCUAAAUGAGGGUAAGACUGUCUCUUAUAAUUAAUCAGUGAAACUGACCUUCCAGUACAAACGCUGGAAUAAACACAUAAGACGAGAAGACCCCGUGGAGCUUAAAACAAACCACUAACACAUUGUAACUCUAGUGCACUGUUUUCAGUUGGGGCGACUUCGGAACAAAACAAAACUUCCGAGCACAGAACCACCACUUCCUACUAAGGCCAACAAGCCCAAGUAUAACCUGACCCGGCUCCAUUGCCGAUCAACGAACCAAGUUACCCCGGGGAUAACAGCGCUAUCUUCUUCAAGAGUCCCUAUCAACAAGAAGGUUUACGACCUCGAUGUUGGAUCAGGACACCCAAAUGGUGCAGCCGCUAUUAAAGGUUCGUUUGUUCAACGAUUAAUAGUCCUACGUGA